CUCAUUCUGUGGAGAAACUGUAAACAGCAAAGAGUAGAAGGAAAUGGCGAUUUCGCUCUCCCUCUGUUCAAAUAUUCUUCGUCAGAGACAGAGACACACGCCUGAAUCGGUGAGACCGGUUCCCAUACGGAUAUUAACAGUAGGGAAAAAGAGAUCCCGUGGGGUACAACUCAUUGUCGAUGAGUACAUUGAGAAGCUGAAAUACUACUGCAGCGCGGAUGAUAUCCAAAUCAGGUCAAAUCCUAAAAAUGCUCGCGAUGUGAAAGCUCAGGUUGAAAAUGAAGAUACAGCAGUCAUGGGUCUCAUCCGGCCUGACGAUUGGGUUGUGAUGUUGGAUGAGCAUGGGUUAGACCUUGGAUCCAUACAGAUGGCUGAGUUACUCAGAGAUGUCGGGAAUACAGGAGCUGCAAGGUUAUCAUUUUGCAUCGGUGGACCUUAUGGUCAUGGAGAGCAAUUGAGAAAACGUGCUAACAUAUCGAUCAAGUUGUCUUCAAUGGUCUUAAAUCACCAAAUUGCUCUACUUGUGCUCAUGGAACAACUUUACCGGUUGCACAAACAGAUCGAGGAGUUUUGCUAACUAAAGACAAACAUAAAGAGGUAGCUGAAGUUGCUCAAGAAUUGCAGAAAUAUUGUGUUUCAGAGCCAGUAAAAUGCCCUCUUAUCUUUGGAGUUUAAUCAAAUGCUGUCCAGAGUGGGACGUAGUGUACUGUUCAAAUCCAACCUCACCUGGGGGUGGCUAUAGGACUGCAUUCGGCCGGUUAUUUUUCAAAGCAAAGGAAA